AGAUUGAACACUGGCGGCAUGCCUUACACAUGCAAGUCGAACGGUAGAGUAGCAAUACUUGAGAGUGGCGAACGGGUGAGUAAUAUAUCGGAACGUGCCCAGUCGUGGGGGAUAACGUAGAGAAAUUUACGCUAAUACCGCAUACGAUCUAAGGAUGAAAGCGGGGGACUCGCAAGAGCCUCGCGCGAUUGGAGCGGCUGAUAUCAGAUUAGGUUGUUGGUGAGGUAAAAGCUCACCAAGCCGACGAUCUGUAGCUGGUUUGAGAGAACGACCAGCCACACUGGGACUGAGACACGGCCCAGACUCCUACGGGAGGCAGCAGUGGGAAUUUUGGACAAUGGGCGAAAGCCUGAUCCAGCAAUGCCGCGUGCAGGAAGAAGGCCUUCGGUUGUAGCUGCUUUUGUACGGAACGAACGGUCUGCUUUAAUACAGCGACUAAUGACGGUACGUAAGAAUAAGCACCGGACUAACGUACGUGCCAGCAGCCGUA
rnacentral:rRNA from 1 species